GACGAACGCUGGCGGCGUGCUUAACACAUGCAAGUCGAACGGAAAGGCCCCUUUGGGGGUACUCGAGUGGCGAACGGGUGAGUAACACGUGCGUAACCUGCCCUUGACUUCGGGAUAACUUCAGGAAACUGGGGCUAAUACCGGAUAGGAAUCCUUUCUUCAUGGUGGGGGUUGGAAAGCUUCGGCGGUUUUUGAUGGACUCGCGGCUUAUCAGCUUGUUGGUGGGGUAGUGGCUUACCAAGGCUUUGACGGGUAGCCGGCCUGAGAGGGCGACCGGCCACAUUGGGACUGAGAUACGGCCCAGACUCCUACGGGAGGCAGAAGUGGGGAAUAUUGCACAAUGGGCGGAAGCCUGAUGCAGCAACGUCGCGUGCGGGAUGACGGCCUUCGGGUUGUAAAACGCUUUCAGCAGGGGCGAAGCUUGUGGUGACGGUACCUGCAGAAGAAGCACCGGCUAACUACGUG
rnacentral:rRNA from 1 species